rfam:Aedes albopictus isolate Foshan contig138727, whole genome shotgun sequence.
CAACCGGUCCUUUUAAGGACCAUCGAAAAUGAUUUU